GGGUGAUGGCGUGCCUUUUGUAGAAUGAACCGGCGAGUUACGAUCUGAUGCAAGGUUAAGCAGGAAAUGUGGAGCCGUAGCGAAAGCGAGUCUGAAUAGGGCGUUGAGUAUUUGGUCGUAGACCCGAAACCAGGUGAUCUACCCAUGGUCAGGUUGAAGUUCAGGUAACACUGAAUGGAGGACCGAACCGACUUACGUUGAAAAGUGAGCGGAUGAACUGUGGGUAGCGGAGAAAUUCCAAUCGAACUUGGAGAUAGCUGGUUCUCUCCGAAAUAGCUUUAGGGCUAGCCUCAAGUGAUGAUUAUUGGAGGUAGAGCACUGUUUGGACGAGGGGCCCCUCUCGGGUUACCGAAUUCAGACAAACUCCGAAUGCCAAUUAAUUUAACUUGGGAGUCAGAACAUGGGUGAUAAGGUCCGUGUUCGAAAGGGAAACAGCCCAGACCACCAGCUAAGGUCCCAAAAUAUAUGUUAAGUGGAAAAGGAUGUGGCGUUGCCCAGACAACUAGGAUGUUGGCUUAGAAGCAGCCAUCAUUUAAAGAGUGCGUAAUAGCUCACUAGUCGAGUGACACUGCGCCGAAAAUGUACCGGGGCUAAACAUAUUACCUAAGCUGUGGAUUGACCAAA
rnacentral:rRNA from 1 species